rnacentral:lncRNA from 1 species
AAAAAAGAGAUCUAAUGGAGAAUCUUUUAUCAUCUCUCAAUUACUUAAAAUAAAUUUAUCAAUCAAACAAAAACACACUCCAUUUAUACACGAUUAAGGUCAAAUAUGAAUGAAUGUAACAAAUUUAAGAAAAUUUGGGAUAUUGUACGAUCUGAAAAGCCUCAAUGUUUGAUACAGCAGAAUAUAACAAAACGCUUUCUAUAAAUAUACACAUGUAGAUCUCAAAUCUCAUGAUUUUUCCGACAACAUGGCUAUUUUUUUUUUUUUGUUUAAAAUUUUUAAUUAAUUUUUUUUCAAGGACAGCUAGAGCUGGGCGGUGAGAUAUUGGAUAUAAAUAUAUAUUCAGGCAAAUCUCACAAAAUAUAUCGCACCGUAUGCAAUCAUACCUUAAAUUUUUUUAACUAUUAAGGAGCCGUUGGAACGUCCAAUUUUAGAGCCCCCGACCAAUCUUUUUUAAUAUUGUGAACUUGCUACAAUUGAUCAUCCAUCUACUUUUUUCUCUAAUAAUUAUGCAUAGUAUCUUAUCAUAAGAUGUAUAUAGGACUAAUGUGUAACAACUACGUAC